UCACAGUUGUGCUGUCAAAGGUGACAUUUGCUUAAGCAUCAGCCAGUUGGUUCUUGCAGAUCAAACAUAGAUUUUAGAAAUAUUUUAUUUUAGUUUUGCAGCAGGCUCUGGAGCCAAAGGUGGGGAUUGAGCAGGACAAAAGACAGAACUGGGAUAUUUAUUUUCAAAAGUUCAUGUAAAUGUCCCCUUGAAUCCCAGUACUAGGUAAAUAAGCCAAGAAAGAAGAGGACCGUGGGCGAAGAUGAAUGUGUUUGCUUUUUGCUCGUUUGAAUUAAUUGACAGCUGGAAAAUGCAGCCUACUCUGACGCAGUCGAUGCUACUUGCCUGCUCGUGGUGUGGACAUCACAGCUUUCCACCAAGCGACCUCACAGCUCAGCAGGCCAGACAGCCAGACACUGGUGGGCAGGACAGCACUUCCCGCCCCUGGUCUCAUCCUUCCUGAGGGUACUUUACCUCACGGGUGUACGUGUUAAUUGCCUUUAGUAAAGUUUUCAUUAAAACACCAGGCAAAAGGCAAGAAGAGCCUCCCAUG
rnacentral:lncRNA from 1 species